rnacentral:rRNA from 1 species
AGUGAACGCUGGCGGUAGGCCUAACACAUGCAAGUCGAACGGCAGCACAGUAAGAGCUUGCUCUUACGGGUGGCGAGUGGCGGACGGGUGAGGAAUACAUCGGAAUCUACUUUUUCGUGGGGGAUAACGUAGGGAAACUUACGCUAAUACCGCAUACGACCUACGGGUGAAAGCAGGGGAUCUUCGGACCUUGCGCGAUUGAAUGCGCCGAUGUCGGAUUAGCUAGUUGGCGGGGUAAAGGCCCACCAAGGCGACGAUCCGUAGCUGGUCUGAGAGGAUGAUCAGCCACACUGGAACUGAGACACGGUCCAGACUCCUACGGGAGGCAGCAGUGGGGAAUAUUGGACAAUGGGCGCAAGCCUGAUCCAGCCAUACCGCGUGGGUGAAGAAGGCCUUCGGGUUGUAAAGCCCUUUUGUUGGGAAAGAAAAGCAGCAGGUUAAUACCCAGCUGUUCUGACGGUACCCAAAGAAUAAGCACCGGCUAACUUCGUG